UGGUGCAAUAUAUAUACGCACAAUUGUGAACAAUUAGGCUGAUUUUCUUCUUUUUUGUUCACAAUUGUGCGUAUAUAUAUUGCACCG
rnacentral:pre_miRNA from 1 species